rnacentral:rRNA from 1 species
AUACGUAGGGGGCGAGCGUUGUCCGGAAUGAUUGGGCGUAAAGGGCGCGUAGGCGGCGCGGUAAGUCUGGAGGGAAAGUCCUGCUUUCAAGGUGGGAAUUGCUUUGGAUACUGCCGCGCUUGAGUGCAGGAGAGGUUAUCGGAAUUCCCGUUGUAGCGGUGAAAUGCGUAGAGAUCGGGAGGAACACCAGUGGCGAAGGCGGGUAACUGGACUGCAACUGACGCUGAGGCGCGAAAGUGUGGGGAGCAAACAGGAUUAGAUACCCUGGUAGUCCACACUGUAAACGAUGAAUGCUAGGUGUAAGAGGUAUCGACCCCUUUUGUGCCGGAGUCAACACAAUAAGCAUUCCGCCUGGGGAGUACGGCCGCAAGGUUGAAACUCAAAUGAAUUGACGGGG